GAGGGUGCGAGCGUUACCCGGAUUUACCUGGGCGUAAAGGGCGUGUANGCGGUCUUUCAAGUCCGAUGCUAAAGACUGGGGCUCAACCCCAGGGGUGCGUUGGAUACUGUGAGGCUAGACGGUCGGAGGGGGUAGCGGAAUUUCCGGAGUAGCGGUGAAAUGCGCAGAUACCGGAAGGAACGCCAAUAGCGAAGGCAGCUACCUGGACGACUUGUGACGCUGAGGCGCGAAAGCGUGGGGAGCAAACCGGAUUAGAUACCCGGGUAGUCCACGCCCUAAACCAUGAGUGCUGGGUGUCCGGCUUCUGCUGGGUGCCGUAGCUAACGCGCUAAGCACUCCGCCUGGGAAGUACGCACGCAAGUGUGAAACUCAAAGGAAUUGACGGGGGCCCGCACAAGCGGUGGAGCAUGUGGUUUAAUUCGAAGCGACGCGAAGAACCUUACCAGGCCUUGACAUGCCCGGAACCCCUCUGAAAGGAGGGGGUGCCCGCAAGGGAGCCGGGACACAGGUGCUGCAUGGCCGUCGUCAGCUCGUGUCGUGAGAUGUUGGGUUAAGUCCCGCAACGAGCGCAACCCCUAUCCCUAGUUGCCAGCAGUUCGGCUGGGCACUCUAUGGAGACUGCCUGCGAAAGCAGGAGGAAGGCGGGGAUGACGUCUGGUCCGCAUGGCCCUUACGGCCUGGGCGACACACGUGCUACAAUGCCAAGGACAGAGCGCUGCUACCUCGCGAGAGGACGCCAAUCGCAAAAACCUUGGCUCAGUUCGGAUUGGAGUCUGCAACUCGACUCCAUGAAGCCGGAAUCGCUAGUAAUCGCGAAUCAG
rnacentral:rRNA from 1 species